rnacentral:rRNA from 1 species
CCCUUAGAUGUUCUGGGCCGCACGCGUGCUACACUGAGUGGAUCAGCGGGUCAGGUUGCGCGAAAGCGUUUCCUAAUCUUUAAAUCCGCUCGUGAUGGGGAUUGACGGUUGCAAUUUUCUGUCAUGAACGAGGAAUACCUUGUAAGCGCGGGUCAUCAUCCCGCGCUGAAUACGUCCCUGCCCUUUGUACACACCGCCCGUCGCUCCUACCGAUUGAGUGGUCCGGUGAGGCUUUGGGGUCUGAGCGGAAAGAGCGUUUCGCUGUUUCUGCUCGGAAAACUCAGUCGAACCUUAUCAUUUAGAGGAAGGAGAAGUCGUAACA